UUCGCAAUGCCCGAAAGGGUGACGAAGCGACGCCGCGUGGGUGAGGAAGGCCUUCGGGUUGUAAAGCCCUGUCAGGAGUUAAGAAAUGUAAGUGUGCUAAUAUCGCAUUUACUUGACGAAGGCUCCAAAGGAAGUCACGGCUAACUCUGUGCCAGCAGCCGCGGUAAUACAGAGGUGGCAAGCGUUGUUUGGAAUUAUUGGGCGUAAAGAGCACGUAGGUGGGUUUGUAAGUCAGAUGUGAAAGCCUCCUGUUCAACGGGAGAAUUGCAUCUGAAACUACUGAUCUUGAGUAUAGGGGGGGAGAAUGGAACUUCUGGUGGAGCGGUGAAAUGCGUAGAUAUCAGAAGGAACGCCGGCGGCGAAAGCGAUUCUCUGGCCUAUUACUGACACUCAGUGUGCGAAAGCUAGGGGAGCAAACGGGAUUAGAUACCCCGGUAGUCCUAGCCGUAAACGAUGGGCACUAAGUAGAGGGGUUUU
rnacentral:rRNA from 2 species